rnacentral:rRNA from 1 species
CCUACGGGAGGCAGCAGUGGGGAAUAUUGGACAAUGGGGGGAACCCUGAUCCAGCCAUGCCGCGUGUGUGAAGAAGGCCCUCGGGUUGUAAAGCACUUUCAGUGAGGAAGAACGCCUGGUGGUUAAUACCCAUCAGGAAAGACAUCACUCACAGAAGAAGCACCGGCUAACUCCGUGCCAGCAGCCGCGGUAAUACGGAGGGUGCGAGCGUUAAUCGGAAUUACUGGGCGUAAAGCGCGCGUAGGUGGCUUGAUAAGCCGGUUGUGAAAGCCCCGGGCUCAACCUGGGAACGGCAUCCGGAACUGUCAAGCUAGAGUGCAGGAGAGGAAGGUAGAACUCCCGGUGUAGCGGUGAAAUGCGUAGAGAUCGGGAGGAAUACCAGUGGCAAAGGCGGCCUUCUGGACUGACACUGACACUGAGGUGCGAAAGCGUGGGUAGCAAACAGGAUUAGAUACCCGGGUAGUC